UUCCUCUUCUUCUCUUUCUUUGAUCUUCUUCCUGCCGAUAUCAAUUCAGAGAAGUUGAGCAUAGUUUUGUGGGGGAUUCUUAGAAAAACUAAGUAUAUGGAUGAAUCAAGGGAGUAGAUUAUGAUAUUGAAGCUAUUUGAACUCUGGAAAGAAGGAUAAUCGGUUAUAAAGGGUUGUGUAAGGUUCAAUUUUGUUUUCUUUAGGAAAUUGAGAUUUGGAUUAGGUUUAGAUGAUUUGAAAGUGAUGAACAAGGGUUCCUAAAUCAAGUAGUUCUGAUGAAGCCGAUGAAUUGAGCAGUGGUGUUUGGAUUCGAUUUAUUGAUUUGAAUCUUAUUUUGGAUUGGUUGAAUUUGAGAAGCAUAUUGUUUUGGUGAUUAAUUGUAGAACAGGGGUUAGGUCUGUCCUUGAGGAACUUGAAGUCGGAAUUGUGUUAUGUUAAGAACUAGAUGAAGAUUAGGUUUUUCUGUGAUGAGAACUACAGAUGAAAGAAGAAUUGUGAAUUGGGUUUGUUUAAUGGUGAAACUUAAUUAUGAUGUUCAAGGAAUUUCAGUUCAAGGGACUAGGAGCUGAAGUGUGGUCUGAGAUGAAGAAUUGUAUUGUUGCUGGUAUUGAACCUGUUGUUAUGAGUUUUGGGGUUGAACUGUUGUUGGUGGUUUUGCUUAUGUGCUUCACUAUUAUAGGACGUGAAGGUUACUUUAAAUAUAAAUGGAGAUUAGAGAUGAAGAUGAGUUUAAUCGAGCCAGUGAGGUUCAAGUGGUAGAUAUUGCAGGUGCAGUGGUGCUGGUUGUGUUGGUUGGGCUGAACUGAAGGGUAGUUGCAGCUAUUGGAACUAGUGGAGAGAUUGGAACUAAUGUAGCUUUGCAGGAAUUUGAUACAACUUGGAACUGAACUCCAACUGGUGGUGCUGAACUGAGAUUGAAAUGGAGAACAACUGUAGGUACAAGUGGGUUAUGCCCAGAUAACGAAGCUAUGUAUAGAUGUGAAGAAUAUGUUAUGUAGAGCUAGGAAUCAGAGUGUAGUGUUUGAUGAAAACAAGACUUCGGAGAUGGAAGUUAGUUUGUAACUUAGAGAACUGUGUACAGUUAGAAUGUUGUGGAGAUUGUAUGUUUGAUUGCGCUU